CCUGCAAUAUUGAUCCAUUGUCAAUUCACAGCAGUACAGCUCACAGCAGAUCACGUUAAAGACAGACCAUCGACGGCAUCACAGAAAACUAAAGGACACAUAAAAAAACAAGAAAAUAAACAUGCAAACACAAACACCAACAGUCAUCGCUGGAAAAAUCUUUGGCUUGGCAGAACCAAGAGAAACAACAACCAACGAUAGAAGCCACCCACCAACAACCAACAAAAAAGCGACAGGAAAAGCCAUACAAUCCAAAGAAACCCUUAGCAAGAAAGAAGCAAACGCAUAAGCCAUCAGCUAAGGGGAGGAUGCGACAGAGCUCACACGAGAGCGUUGGUCAAUGGGCGUGGCAGUGCGGUCUCGAGAUGCCUACGUCGCCUAAUUAAAGAAACAGAUCCAGACAACACCCUCCAUUUGAAUCAACAAAGGACUUGCAAAACAUAAAAUAAACAUGCAAACAGGGAUGAUAAUACCAGAGAACCAUCAAAGCAAAGCCGACCAAACUGGAAACCUCACAGUAACCGACACGAAAGCAUAAAUCCAAAACCACAAAAGCAGUACCCUACCGAUGACCACUUCAACUUCU
rnacentral:lncRNA from 1 species